UACGUAGGGUGCAAGCGUUGUCCGGAAUUAUUGGGCGUAAAGAGCUUGUAGGCGGUUUGUCGCGUCUGCUGUGAAAUUUCGGGGCUCAACCCCGAACUUGCAGUGGGUACGGGCAGACUAGAGUGUGGUAGGGGAGACUGGAAGUUCCUGGUGUAGCGGUGAAAUGCGCAGAUAUCGAGGGGGAACACCGAUGGCGAAGGCAGGUCUCUGGGCCAUAACUGACGCUGAGAAGCGAAAGCAUGGGGAGCGAACAGG
rnacentral:rRNA from 1 species